UUCCGUGUGGCUCAGUUGGUAGAGCAUGGCGCUUGUAACGUCAGGGUUGUGCAUUCGAUUCGCACGGGGGAAC
rfam:Salmo salar isolate Sally breed double haploid chromosome ssa02, whole genome shotgun sequence.